GGUUGGAUUUCUGGGCAAUUACUCCAUUGGCAGUUGCCACCUUCCUUUUAAAACCCACACACACACAUAUAUAUAUUAUAUAUUAUGUGAUCACAAAAUCAUAUUGCCAAAAUUAAGGCAAUAACAAAAUCGCUACUGCCAAAGGAGAUUUGCCCGGUAAUGCUCCC
rnacentral:pre_miRNA from 2 species